rnacentral:pre_miRNA from 1 species
AAUAAGUGUAAUUGUGUAUUUUCGUAACUAACAUUUAAUCGUCCGUAUUAUUUGAGAAAAAGUUAUUAUUAGUAUUUUUAUUGUAUUAGAUGAUAAACAUAAAUAAUAAUUUAUGUGUAACUAUUUUUUUAAAUAAUAAUAACUAUUUUUAUAAUAUUUUUAAAUAAGACAAAAGGUUAAAGUUGGAUAAGAAAAUUCACAACUGUACUUAUA